UGCAGUUGUGUGCCAUAGGCUUUAUUUAUCAGUCACUGAUUAUAUAUUUAAUUAAUAUCUCGCGUUUCCGCGGAAACCCACGCUCGGCAUGCAAAUGUGCCUUUAUAUUGCCCCCUGAAUUGCGAGGCGAAAGGACACACCUGCAGGCGAGCAAUUCACCUAAAGGCACAAGAAAAUCUAUAUCUACAACUAUUUACAUGACUUACAUUAUACACAUUAUGUACAAAAUUUGAAUGACGCGCGUGCGCCGUAAAAGUUCUUAUGUUGGCAAAUAGAGUGCGCGCAUGCGCUGAAGCGUCUGUGUGACUCCGGCAUUGCCGUUAUAUCGUACAGUUAGAUCACGCGGCACAGUAUUGCAGUCCAUAUUGUUCGUGUGUGCGCGUAUCUUAGUCGUUGCACAAGGAAAAUAUUCAACCAAGAUUACAUAUGAAGACUACAUUCUAUGACAGGUGCGUUGACCUAUACACAUCGUGUCGUUAUUUCAGUUCACAGUCAUCAGCUGCACAAUCAUUUUUUACAGAUCUGACGUGACCCGUCGAGUAAUUGGUCCCCAUGCAGUUCGUUUUUUACAUUCCGUGGAAGCUUGGUUGCAGAACCUCAGACGGCACGUAGCUGACGUCGAUCCUUGGAUAGU